GGAAUUUAAACCUCUUCCAGAGUAUCAAUUGGAGGGCAAGUCUGGUGCCAGCAGCCGCGGUAAUUCCAGCUCCAAUAGCGUAUAUUAAAAUUGUUGCAGUUAAAAAGCUCGUAGUUGAAUUUCUGCUGCAUUACAUAUCUCUUGUUUGAGUUUGUUUUUGUGGCUUAUUUCGGUUUGAUUUUUUCUUUCCGGAUGAUUACUUUGAGAAAAUUAGAGUGCUCAAAGCAGGCUUUUGCCUUGAAUAGUUUAGCAUGGAAUAAUAAAGUAGGACUUUGGUUCUAUUUUGUUGGUUUUAGGUACCAAAGUAAUGGUUAAUAGGAACAGUUGGGGGCAUUCGUAUUUAACUGUCAGAGGUGAAAUUCUUAG
rnacentral:rRNA from 1 species